AUGGACGUUUAUUUUCUCUUUUUGUAAUUUCUUUGUUUGAAGGUGCUUAGAGGAAAACAUAAGAAACCUCUUUUGUCAAAGCAUCUUUAGGUCUUUAGUUUAGGAGUCUUAGGGGGGUGUGCGUUUAGUAGAGAGGUGUAGAAGUAAUAGGGAGGUGCCAAAGUGAGAGAGGAAGUCACACCUUCCUCAUGCUUGGCGCCACUUUCAUGUAUUUGGG
rnacentral:lncRNA from 1 species